UCUCCCUGGUCUGGCCCACCGGUCGCUCUCUCCACUCCCUGCAGUCUGUGCUACCUCCUGCCUUGUUCUGACCCACGCUCAUCCCCAUAUCUGCCUUGCAAUACACCCAGCCUGCUCCCGGUGCUGUUCCCCUGUCAUCUGCUACCAUCCUCCUCUAACCCUCUGCCUAGCCCCACAUCUGGAGCCACAUCUGGAUCUCAUCAUAACGGCCCUAGAACACCCACAAUACAAGACCUGGUCCUUGUCCGGUCUUCCUGGACCCCACUUGUCACCUGGUGAAGGGAUCCUGUGGUCUGAAAGAGGCUAUGUUCGAUGCUGACCUGUGACUCUGUAGAAGAUGGGAAAUUGUGUUGCAGAGACCUGAGAAAGCAACAGUCUCUCAGAGAAGGGAGGUCCCUCCCAGCAUAGCUGCAAAUCAGGCCCAAGGUUCUCCUCCCCAGGACAGACCCUGCUGUAAGGCUGGAGCUCCAGUCACUGCUGUGUCAUGUGCACUCCUGUGGAUUCCCCACACGUGACCAACAGAAGAGGACAGAGAGGCAGAUUCUGUCCUGGACAGCUUCUUCAGCCUUCCAUCCCAUUUGAUGUGGUCUGAUUUUCUCCUGCACUGCUUCAGCUACAACGGGUCUUCUUCCUCUAGAGUCCCUCCUAUGGCAAGACUAAACCAAUCGAACAGACCCAUCUCUCCUCCCUGUGUCUGAGUCAGCCACGUGCAAUAACAAAAUGCAUCCUUUUUCCUGGACCAUUGUGGGUCCGCAUCCCACCCCGUGGCAGGGCACGGCCGCUCGGGAAGAGAAACGCAGGGAGCUUGACUACGCUUAUCUCACCCACGCUGCUGCCUGGCAGGUGCUGGGCUUCAGGGAAGCACAGAGACACCGCUCUGGGGGUGGGAAAACAGUCCGAGAUGUGAGCAAGCCGAAGCUGGUGUUCCCUAACUUCUGAGCAUCUAGUCGCUGCUAGAGAACCACACAGAGGAGUCGGGAACAAGGUGUCAGGGGUCCACGGGCCACAACAAGGCUAAAACCACUGGGGGCUGACAGGCUGAGAAUGGCAUGUCGCCCAGGCCUGGGGCUGGGAGCUCCAGCUUUGCUCAUUGGCGAAGGUAGCAGCAGUUGUCUGAGGGCCCAGAGGGCCCUCCUAUGGGAGACUUAGGCUGUGUGGCUCUGUAGGCGAAGGCCUGCUCCGUGCUCCCCAUGACGGUGGUAGAUGAAAGAGACAGUCCUAGGUUCCAAACUAUUUAUUGAUUGUUCAUCCUGGAAAAUAUUCAUAUCUUCUUCUCAGGGUGGAUGAACCCGAGAUUAAAUACCAUUUGCAGGGAGGAAUGUCUGGGAAGGGGAGCUUAUUGGCUAAACUCUCAGUGCCUCUAGGUACUUCUUUAGCAUGGAGAACUCUGUUCUAGGUGAACGUCACCACAGGUCACAUUUCCUUAUGUGGGAAGUGUGGCAGGUCUUCCAGACCAGGUAUCUAGCAGGGAGCAGGGAGGCACCUUCCAUCUCAGGUGUGAGUUUCCGGGGUCUCAACCCGCUCUACCCAUCAAGCUUCCUGGCAUGGUUUACUGUCCCACAGAUCAUGGAAGAGGAGACAGGUGUCUGACUUGUUCUUCCUCUGGAUUGCUUCUUAAUGCUCAGAGAGGAGAAUAUUUAUUUAUACAGAUCUGUAUAAAUGUGCUGCCACCUGAAUCCAUGAUAGUGUCCGUGGUCCAUGCCAAGAGCCAUGCUGAUGCCCAUAGGCUGUGCUACAACUGGAGACCAUGUUGGUGUCUAUGCCCCAUGCUGCCACCAAAGGCCAUGUUGAUACCUGUGACCUGUGCUGCCGCAGAGGACCAUGAUGGCGUCUGUGAUUUGUGCUACAGCUGAGGGCUGUGCUGAUGUCCGUGGGUCUGUGUGUCCCCAGAAAGUAUGUGGGGAUCCAUGACCCAUGUCCCGACUGUGAAGGACAAGGAAGCCUCUUCUGCAGUGGCCGUGAUGACUGCAGACUCACAGCUGAGACUGAGAGACAUAGAAGUCCUCUGUGACAACCUCUCCCACCCCAACCCUCACGCCUACCCCCUCCC
ensembl:lincRNA